ensembl:lncRNA
CUCCCAGGAGGAAUACACGCUGCUUUUCGGUGUCCUUGUUUUUCCAAGGAAGCUGUUCUUUUCAGGGGCAGGCUUUCAGAAACCUGACCCUGAGCAGGCACCAAACCCAGGUGAGGGGCUCCAGGGUCUUAUUUCAAUUCUCCUUCACCAUCCUCUGCCGCCUCCACUAUCUGAUGCUGUGCAAAUGUUCCCAGGCUCCACGAAGGCUUCGCCUUGCUCAGUCCCAUCUCUGAUUUCCAUGGUGCAUCAGAAAAGAAGAGGAUGACUCCUUUGACCCCCCUGCUGUGUGUUCAUUUCAAUCAUCUGCUCUGGGCUCUGCUGGGAGAGGGACGGUUCCACCCAGCCUGCCUGGCCCUGCGUCCCACUCAGCACCAGAGAAAAGCAGCUCAAAAAAUGUCAUGUGCUGGAAAGAAGAAGCAUAUGGAGCUUGAAGAUAUCCAUUGUCUCCAAAUCCUAUACUCAAAGAAUGACCCUUUGUUGCCCUGCACUCAUCACUGGGUAGCAUGGGCUGCUCAUGAGCCUUCCCUUUCGCCUAGGUUGCCAGUAUCAGUACUAUUGUGGGGAACUCAUCCACGCUAACAUAACUGGUCCUUGAAUGAUUUGUUUGCACCCCAGAUCAAUGCAGAAUGAUGAUCAUUCCAUCCAGAGAUGGCCCAAGGGCACGUGCUGCUGCCACACUGCCUAUGUGCACUCACUCCCUGGUGUUACCGCUUCCCUCAACCAAAAUCUGUUUGAAAUAAACUGUAUAUUUUUUCUGGCAAAAAUAAAAAAUAAAGAAG